GACGAACGCUGGCGGCGUGCUUAACACAUGCAAGUCGAACGGAAAGGCCCUGCUUGCAGGGUGCUCGAGUGGCGAACGGGUGAGUAACACGUGGGUGAUCUGCCCCUUACUUUGGGAUAAGCCUGGGAAACUGGGUCUAAUACUGGAUAGGACCAUGCUGUAGGUGGUGUGGUGGAAAGAUUAGUUUCGGUAAGGGAUGAGCUCGCGGCCUAUCAGCUUGUUGGUGGGGUAAUGGCCUACCAAGGCGUCGACGGGUAGCCGGCCUGAGAGGGUGGACGGCCACAUUGGGACUGAGAUACGGCCCAGACUCCUACGGGAGGCAGCAGUGGGGAAUAUUGCACAAUGGGCGCAAGCCUGAUGCAGCGACGCCGCGUGGGGGAUGACGGCCUUCGGGUUGUAAACUCCUUUCAGCCAUGACGAAGCCCUUGUGGGGACGGUAGUGGUAGAAGAAGCACCGGCUAACUACGU
rnacentral:rRNA from 1 species